UACGUAGGGGGCAAGCGUUGUCCGGAAUCAUUGGGCGUAAAGAGCGUGUAGGCGGCCAGAUAAGUCCGCUGUGAAAACUCGAGGCUUAACCUCGAGAUGUCAUCGGAAACCAUUUGGCUAGAGUCCGGAAGAGGAAAGUGGAAUUCCUGGUGUAGCGGUGAAAUGCGCAGAUAUCAGGAAGAACACCAAUGGCGAAAGCAGCUUUCUGGGACGGUACUGACGCUGAGACGCGAAAGCGUGGGGAGCGAACAGG
rnacentral:rRNA from 1 species